rnacentral:rRNA from 1 species
GUUUGUCGCGUAGUUCGUGAAAUCUCACGGCUUAACUGUGAGCGUGCGGGCGAUACGGGCAGACUUGAGAUACUGCAGGGGAGACUGGAAUUCCUGGUGUAGCGGUGGAAUGCGCAGAUAUCAGGAGGAACACCGGUGGCGAAGGCGGGUCUCUGGGCAGUAACUGACGCUGAGGAGCGAAAGCGUGGGGAGCGAACAGGAUUAGAUACCCUGGUAGUCCACGCCGUAAACGGUGGGUACUAGGUGUGGGUUUCCUUCCUUGGGAUCCGUGCCGUAGCUAACGCAUUAAGUACCCCGCCUGGGGAGUACGGCCGCAAGGCUAAAACUCAAAGAAAUUGACGGGGGCCCGCACAAGCGGCGGAGCAUGUGGAUUAACUCGAUGCAACGCGAAGAACCUUACCUGGGUUUGACAUGCACAGGACGCCGGCAGAGAUGUCGGUUCCCUUGUGGCCUGUGUGCAGGUGGUGCAUGGCUGUCGUCAGCUCGUGUCGUGAGAUGUUGGGUUAAGUCCCGCAACGAGCGCAACCCUUGUCUCAUGUUGCCAGCGGGUAAUGCCGGGGACUCGUGAGAGACUGCCGGGGUCAACUCGGAGGAAGGUGGGGAUGACGUCAAGUCAUCAUGCCCCUUAUGUCCAGGGCUUCACACAUGCUACAAUGGCCGGUACAAAGGGCUGCGAUGCCGCGAGGUUAAGCGAAUCCUUUUAAAGCCGGUCUCAGUUCGGAUCGGGGUCUGCAACUCGACCCCGUGAAGUCGGAGUCGCUAG